rnacentral:lncRNA from 1 species
GUUUGAAAUUGUGAGAUGGCUCAAGUUGCAUAAUACCAAAAAACGACUUUGCUAACUAAUGAACUAGAUAGUCGCUGUACUUGCUAGCCAACUAGCUUAUCUAGUAGCUACAGAGGUCAAACAAGUCCAAAAGAACAAGUUUAACUUAGUCUGGGAAAGCACGCACGCGCUUACCUCACAAUAUAGAUAACACGGUGCCUGCAACGUCGACAGUACAGUACGUUCAGAAAAGCUGUGGUUCCAGCGUGAUUUUCUUGGGCCAAGAUAACUCACAACCUAAUCAUUAACUAUGAGCUUUCAGACUCACGUUUAUUCUACUGGCAAAACGCAGACAGCCCAAGUAAGCUGACAUUUGACAGCGCAGGAAAAUGUAGACGUAGCACGGAUGUUUUCAUGUAGUAGCUUAUCAGGCGACCCCGUUCAGGGUAGGCACUUCCGCCGCCACAUGGCAGCCCAAGCAUAACAUUGUGAGACUUCCGGGAAUGCCUGCGACACAGACCAAGCAGACAGACCAGGCCUAGGAUUGAGAAGUAAAUGUGCGCGUUUGAGUGGUAAACCGACUGUAGACGUAAGUCAACGAGUAAAGUCAGGGAGGUACAUAUUUAUGCACUGACAGUUUGCUGUCUGACAACUUCUGUUUUUUUCUAGGAAAUGUUAAAUGGCAGACAUGGAAUUCGCCUUUGUUAUUGCCGAUGAAGUGGAUGCCAUCGAAAUUCCACUUCUCCUACACGAAGCUGAACAUGAACAACACGGUCCAAGACAUGCAUAUCUUAAUAAGGAAAUUACAUACCAG